UCCAGAAACCCCUAAAUGACCGACUCUUCCAUGCCUGAGAUGACCCGCCCUGCCCUGCGUCAUGACCUCCCGGCAUACAUUGAAACCGUGCGCUGAAUGGGUGACUUUUCAAUGCUGGAGGUCCACUCCCUGACCCCCCGCCCUGCCCCGCCCCGCAUGUCACGACCUGCCCCUGCGUCAGUUGAAACCACUACAUGCGUGAGAUGACCCGACCCGCCCCGCCCCAACCAACCAUCAUGACCUGCCCGCCCCCUGGCAUACAUUGUUUCCAGAAACCCCUAAAUGACCGACUCUUCCAUGCCUGAGAUGACCCGCCCUGCCCUGCGUCAUGACCUCCCGGCAUACAUUGGAGCGUGACACCAAGAUGACCUACCAGAAUGUGAGCAUCGUGCUGUCGCCCACCAUGCAGAUUUCUCACCGGGUGCUCAAUGUCUUCUUGCUCAACCGUGCCUACCUCUUUGGGGGAGUCGCCAUCAAAAAGUUUUGGGCGCCCAGCUGUACACGUGAACUAACAGUCUUGGCUUCAGGGCAGGUCGCUAAAAUGGAGUGUCGAUGAUUUGAUUGAGGCAGUAUUCCUCGGCAAAGUGCAUGACAGCUUUUGCCUGGGUCCUCAUGUCUUCCGCUCCUCCAUACACACACUCCAAAUUCCAGUCUGUUAGCGGAAAGUUUAAGUCUGCAAGGCAGUGCCAGUGUUUGGAGUGCCACUGUGCCUGGCCGUCCAGCGCUGCCCGGCACACGAUGGCAUCCAGCUGCCCACCAUUGUCAGGGAGUGCAUUGACCAGAUAGAGGUUUGCAGUGAGAACUGACGGACGAUGGCCGGAGCCAGAGCCAAGGCUGACUCUAGACGGGAGAUGGCAGAGUGAACAUGACCCCGAACUGUGGCGUUGAGGACUUCCUGAUGGAGGUUAAGCUGACGUCUCUCUUCCGCCAAUAGAGUGUAGAGAUGGGAGAUUUUCCCGUGUAUGACGUCUAUCUGGGCCUGACUGGCCGUACCAGAAAGGAGGUGCAAGCGAGCCAAUGAAAUCAACGGCUCCUCGCCGCUGGGGAGUCCAAAACGGGCUCUCAUCCCUACCACUCCUAGCCGACAGGAAGUUGUUGAGAUCCUUGAACAAUUUUGCAAAUUCAGUGUGGAAGGAGUCUAGAGUCCGCCUCAGCAGCCCAACAGUAGGGACUGAUUGAUUCAUAUGGUCAAUUGUGUGUGUGUGUAUUUACCUAAUUGUAUUUACCUAGUUGUGACAUACGGGAAAAGAUCUACGCUCAUGCUGUCCGGUCUCCAUAUCCUCUCUUAUCCAACUUUUCCUUAAUAUCCUGAAUGUUUCUUGCACAAACCACCUCCUCCUCCAGUCCGUUCCACAGCUUCUGUUUGGGAAGCUAAACUUUUUCACAUCUCACCUACACGUGGUCGCCCUAAACUUCUUUCCAUGUCCUCUCG